rnacentral:rRNA from 1 species
CGAAAGCCUGACGGAGCAAUACCGCGUGAGGGAGGAAGGCUCUUGGGUCGUAAACCUCUUUUCUCAGGGAAGAAGAAAGUGACGGUACCUGAGGAAUCAGCCUCGGCUAACUCCGUGCCAGCAGCCGCGGUAAUACGGAGGAGGCAAGCGUUAUCCGGAAUUAUUGGGCGUAAAGCGUCCGCAGGUGGCUGUUCAAGUCUGCUGUCAAAGCGCAGAGCUUAACUCUGUAAGGGCGGUGGAAACUGAACAGCUAGAGUGUGGUAGGGGUAGAGGGAAUUCCCAGUGUAGCGGUGAAAUGCGUAGAUAUUGGGAAGAACACCGGUGGCGAAAGCGCUCUACUGGGCUACAACUGACGCUGAUGGACGAAAGCUAGGGGAGCG